rnacentral:lncRNA from 1 species
UCAGCAUUCGUAUUAUUCUUUCUACAUAGUAUAUUCUUGUGCUCACUGCAAUAAGUUAUGAUUUUUAAUUUUAUAUCGACAUGAAAAACUUAUUUAAAAUAUUAAGCAGAAUGCUACGAUGGUACUUACUCAAUAAAAUCUUCAAUUUCUUCACAAUUAUUUAGAACGUAUAAGUGUGCUUUGGAUAGCUCAUUCACAUCUAUAAAUUUAUAUCUCUUUGCACCAAUAGGUCG